ACCAGCAGCAGCAGCAGCAGCGGCAGCAGCAGGAACGGCAGCAGCAGCAGCAGCCUCCCCGACCUCCAUCACCUCCCUGCCUUCUUUUUUUUUUUUUUCCUUCCUGGGAGAAACCAGCCAGAGUCACAGUAAAGACCGACUCCAGCAGCAUCCGAGUUGGAUGUCUCACUGAUGGGUAUUCCCUCCGCUGCAGAGCCACCUCUCUGGGGACGCUUGAGUGAAGCGGCGCAGUGGACAGAGCGGCUGAUUUCCAGACAAUCUCCUCUUCGGGUUUCUCAUCAAAUAACUGUCUGGCUGUGUUUUUGUGCGUCAGACAGAUUUCGUCAGAGCCGGGAAGCUGCUAGAUGUUAAGGGCUAUGAAGAACGCUGAGUCUGAAGACAGG
ensembl:lncRNA